UCCUGCUUCUCUUCCUCUCAGGCUGCUGCUUGCGGUUCCUGUGGUAAUCCGCCUCGUUGUUCCGGUGUCGCAAAAGACAGGGGGGAGACCCAGUCUUGUUACUAUUAUGAAGAUGGAUUGUCCACCCGUCCAUGGUACUCCCUUUCUGAAAGAAGGUCUCCCUGGUUAUAUCGUCCACAUGGGCUGAACAGAUGGCGUCCACUUUCAAGGUCCUUGAUGAAGGGGUGCAGGAGAACAUGCUUUGUCGUUGAGUGGGUGCCUCAGUGCUGUCCAAACCACUAUGGGAAAGAUUGUCAGGUGUGUCCUGGAGGGCUUAAGGAACCAUGCAGCAAUCAUGGUACCUGUAACGAUGGGCAGCAAGGCUCGGGAUGGUGCUCCUGCAACAAGGCCUUCAUUGGGACAGCUUGCGAGAACUGUGCCCCAGGCCACUAUGGACCAGAGUGCAAAGGUACAUCUUUGUUUUCA